AUUGAACGCUGGCGGAAUGCUUUACACAUGCAAGUCGAGCGGCAGCGCGGGGGCAACCCUGGCGGCGAGCGGCGAACGGGUGAGUAAUGCAUCGGAACGUACCCAGUCGUGGGGGGAUAACGUGGCGAAAGUCACGCUAAUACCGCAUACGUCCUGAGGGAGAAAGCAGGGGAUCGCAAGACCUUGCGCGAUUGGGGCGGCCGAUGUCUGAUUAGCUAGUUGGUGGGGUAAAGGCCUACCAAGGCGACGAUCAGUAGCUGGUCUGAGAGGACGAUCAGCCACACUGGGACUGAGACACGGCCCAGACUCCUACGGGAGGCAGCAGUGGGGAAUUUUGGACAAUGGGCGAAAGCCUGAUCCAGCCAUUCCGCGUGAGUGAAGAAGGCCU
rnacentral:rRNA from 1 species